GCCACCGUGGCGGAAUUGGCAGACGCGCUGGACUCAAAAUCCAGUUCCCAUUGCGGGAGUGUCGGUUCGAUCCCGACCGGUGGUA
rnacentral:tRNA from 1 species